AGUGAACGCUGGCGGUAGGCCUAACACAUGCAAGUCGAACGGCAGCACAGUAAGAGCUUGCUCUUACGGGUGGCGAGUGGCGGACGGGUGAGGAAUACAUCGGAAUCUACUUUUUCGUGGGGGAUAACGUAGGGAAACUUACGCUAAUACCGCAUACGACCUACGGGUGAAAGCCGGGGAUCUUUGGACCUUGCGCGAUUGAAUGAGCCGAUGUCGGAUUAGCUAGUUGGCGGGGUAAAGGCCCACCAAGGCGACGAUCCGUAGCUGGUCUGAGAGGAUGAUCAGCCACACUGGAACUGAGACACGGUCCAGACUCCUACGGGAGGCAGCAGUGGGGAAUAUUGGACAAUGGGCGCAAGCCUGAUCCAGCCAUACCGCGUGAGUGAAGAAGGCCUUCGGGUUGUAAAGCCCUUUUGUUGGGAAAGAAAAGCAGCAGGUUAAUACCCCGCGGUUCUGACGGUACCGAAAGAAUAAGCACCGGCUAACUUCGUG
rnacentral:rRNA from 1 species